rnacentral:rRNA from 1 species
GUAGGCGCACAGUCAGUAACCGUGGCUAACCUGCCCUUGGGACGGAAACAUCCCCGGGAAACUGGGGCUAAUUUCCGAUAGGUGAAGACUCCUUGAAUGGAUUUUCGCCGAAAAGGUGCUUAGGGCAUGCUUCUAGGCGUUGCCCAAGGAUGGGGCCGCGGCCGAUCAGGUUGUUGGUGAGGUAAUGGCUCACCAAGCCUUUAACCGGUACGGGCCGUGGGAGCGGUAGCCCGGAGAUGGGCACUGAGACAAGGGCCCAGGCCCUACGGGGCGCAGCAGUCGCGAAAACUUCGCAAUAAGCGAAAGCUUGACGGGGCCAUCCCGAGUGCCAUCUGCUGAGGAUGGCUUUUACCCAGUAUAGAUAGCUGGGGGAAUAAGGAGAGGGCAAGUCUGGUGUCAGCCGCCGCGGUAAUACCAGCUCUCCGAGUUGUAGGGAUGUUUAUUGGGCCUAAAGCAUCCGUAGCCGGCUGGACAAGUCCUCUGUUAAAUCCAGCGACCAAUCGUUGGUCUGCGGGGGAUACUGUCCGGCUAGGGGGCGGGAGAGGCCGUCGGUAUUCUUGGGGUAGGGGUGAAAUCCUAUAAUCCCAGGAGGACCACCAGUGGCGAAGGCUGUCGGCUAGAACGCGCCCGACGGUGAGGGAUGAAAGCUGGGGGAGCGAACCGGAUUAGAUACCCGGGUAGUCCCAGCUGUAAACGAUGCAGGCUAGGUGUUAGGGCGGCUACGUGCCGCUCUAGUGCCGCAGGGAAGCUGUUAAGCCUGCCGCCUGGGGAGUAAGCCGCAGAGCUGAACUUAAGGCCA